AUUAUAAAAGUUCCAGCUUUAGUCUACCUAAAACGUACCCUGCAAUUCUCUCUGAUGAGUGAAACCGAUUCUAUUCUGCCAAGACUAUCAGUAAUAAAUCGUGGUAGAAGGUGGAUGUCCUACUGAGAGAAGAAAAAACGAAAUAAAACAAAACAGGAUCCACACCAGGUCACCACACUGCAUUCAGUCAUCAUGUCGUCAUGUCUCCCUCAUCUCCUCCAGUCUGUGAAGACGCUGGAGCUGAAUGCUCUGCUGGGAGGAAGCACUCAUUCUCUGGCAAUGCUGACGGGAGUGGAAAACAAGCAGGAAAGCACAGCCGCCGCCUUCAUCUUGCCUUCCCAUCGCUCACUGGCAGAUUACCCCUGAGCUAACUACUGCCAGUCCUUCUCUUCUUUGCUGAGGAAGCCUGGCCCUGAGCUAACAUCGUGCCCAUCUUCCUCUACUUUAUAUGUGGGACGCCUACCACAGCAUGGCGUGCCAAGGGAUGCCAUGUCCGCACCCGGGAUCCGAACCUUCAAACCCCAGACCGCUGAGAAGUGGAACGUGCGAACUUAACUGCUGCGCCACCGGGCCAGCCCCCCACACUACAAAUUAUGAAGAAAUAAAACAGACAUAGACCUUAAGAGGCUUUCUGGUUAACAAAGACUUCAUACAUAAUUUAAAAUGAUAGGGAUGAAUUACAUGGCUCUCCACGACAAGUUAGUAUAUGUAGCAUCAAGAUUAAUGUUGCAAAGGGGAUAACUUUAAGAAUUUAUU
rnacentral:lncRNA from 1 species